GCUCACCUGUUACUGUAUUUACUGAUGUCGGCCAUCUUGGUUGGUAGGCGGGGUCAUAAGACACUUUUUUUUAAAUAGAUACCCUAGUAAUGAUUAUGGUCAAGUUUUGUUAAAUUGGCCCAUAGUUUUAGAAAAGAAGAUUUUUGUACAAGUUACAAAAAUGACGAAAAGUUGUUCAAUAUUGACUAUAAAGGACAAUAACUCCUUAAGGGGUUCUCU
rnacentral:lncRNA from 1 species